GAUGAAGAACGUAGCGAAAUGCGAUAAGUAAUGUGAAUUGCAGAAUUCAGUGAAUCAUCGAAUCUUUGAACGCACAUUGCGCCCCUUGGUAUUCCGAGGGGCAUGCCUGUUCGAGCGUCAUUAUAACCCCUCAAGCUCAGCUUGGUAUUGGGGCCUGCCAUCCUGGCAGCCCUUAAAAUCAGUGGCGGUGCCAUCCGGCUCUAAGCGUAGUAACUCUUCUCGCUAUGGAGUCCCGGUGGAUGCUUGCCAACAACCCCCAACUUCUUAAGGUUGACCUCGGAUCAGGUAGGGAUACCCGCUGAACUUAAGCAUAUCAAUAAGCGGAGGA
rnacentral:misc_RNA from 1 species